rnacentral:tRNA from 2 species
GCCGGCUUAGCUCAGUUGGUAGAGCACCUGAUUUGUAAUCAGGGGGUCGCGGGUUCGAUUCCUGCAGCCGGCA